AGCAGCCGCGGUAAUUCCAGCUCCAAUUGCGUAUAUUAAAGUUGUUGCAGUUAAAAAGCUCGUAGUUGAAUUUCGGGGUUCUUCCGUUGGUCAGGCUAACAAGUCUGUACUAGCGUGUAGAAUCUCUACCUUCUGGGGAACCAUCAUGUUAUUAAUUUAGCGUGGUGGGAAACCAGGACCUUUACCUUGAAAAAAUUAGAGUGUUCAAAGCAGGCUUACGUCUGAAUACAUUAGCAUGGAAUAAUAAAAUAGGACGGUGGUCCUGUUUUGUUGGUUUCUGAAUCACCGUAAUGAUUAAUAGGGAUAGUUGGGGGCAUUAGUAUUCAAUUGUCAGAGGUGAAAUUCUUGGAUUUAUUGAAGACUAACUUCUGCGAAAGCAUUUGCCAAGGAUGUUUUCAUUAAUCAAGAACGAAAGUUAGGGGAUCGAAGACGAUCAGAUACCGUCGUAGUCUUAACCAUAAACUAUGC
rnacentral:rRNA from 1 species